rnacentral:rRNA from 1 species
AAUUUGGACAUGGGGGGAACCCUGAUCCAGCCAUGCCGCGUGUGUGAAGAAGGCCUUUUGGUUGUAAAGCACUUUAAGCGAGGAGGAGGCUACUAGUAUUAAUACUACUGGAUAGUGGACGUUACUCGCAGAAUAAGCACCGGCUAACUCUGUGCCAGCAGCCGCGGUAAUACAGAGGGUGCGAGCGUUAAUCGGAUUUACUGGGCGUAAAGCGUGCGUAGGCGGCUGAUUAAGUCGGAUGUGAAAUCCCUGAGCUUAACUUAGGAAUUGCAUUCGAUACUGGUCAGCUAGAGUAUGGGAGAGGAUGGUAGAAUUCCAGGUGUAGCGGUGAAAUGCGUAGAGAUCUGGAGGAAUACCGAUGGCGAAGGCAGCCAUCUGGCCUAAUACUGACGCUGAGGUACGAAAGCAUGGGGAGCAAACAGGAUUAGAUACCCUGGUAGUCCAUGCCGUAAACGAUGUCUACUAGCCGUUGGGGCCUUUGAGGCUUUAGUGGCGCAGCUAACGCGAUAAGUAGACCGCCUGGGGAGUACGGUCGCAAGACUAAAACUCAAAUGAAUGACGGGGGCCCGCACAAGCGUGGAGCAUGUGGUUUAAUUCGAUGCAACGCGAAGAACCUACCUGGUCUGACAUAGUAGAACUUCAGAGAUGAUGGUGCUCGGAACUACAUACAGGUGCUGCAUGCUGUCGUCAGCUCGUGUCGUGAGAUGUGGUAGUCCGCACGAGCGCACCUUUUCCUAUUGCAGCGGUAGCGGAC